UACUCAUCCAUCUUAACGAGGUGUCCAGGACCGAAUGAAUAAUAGUUUCAAAUGAUCAAAUUGUGAAUUCUUUUUGUCAUCAGAGUGAAAAGGUCAGUGGCCUUUGACAUGGCAUGAGCCACUGAGUGAAUCCAGGGAAACGACACCACCAGAAAGAAAGACAGAGAACAGAGCUGUGCUUAAAACAACUUCAGAAUUGCAACAACCUCCAAGCAAACAUCAAGGUCCUCCAAGCAGAGUUGUUGGUUUUUCCAUUCAAUCAAUGCAGUGGAUUACCAAUGAAGAACUUCACAGAAGAAAUGUAGUAUAAGGAGGAAUUUGACUAGAAGAUGGCUGACGGGGUGCAGUAGGAAACUGUUCCAAGCAAAUGAGGUAGCAUGGAAGAAGCAUGAAGACAAGACUGGAGACGGCAGAUAAUAUUCAAUGCCUACAAUAAGUCUUGAUGACUGCAUGUCAUAUUUUAAUAUCACUUUUAUUAUCCCUGAUUUAUUACAAUAAAAAGUGACUUUUUAAAAAAAUGAAAAAUAGGCAAAUGAGAAUGUGGAGACUUUUCCUGUUUUAAUGGCACUGUUACAUAAUGUCUUGGGUGAGGGGGAGAGUUUCUUGUGAGUAAGUUUUUACUGUAAGAAGAAAGGCUGUGGUGCUGAUGGUUUUCUGAUGUAGUCUCCUUGGGGGAGUUCUGGCAAGCAGCAACAAUAUUUGUUCUCUGCCUGAAUCUCUCUAACUAGAGUUAAUCCUUGAAGCACCGUUGCUCCCUGGGAACUGAGCAAUGAUGUUGGACCAAGAUCCUUGAAAGAAGGGAUUGCCUGCAUACUGUUGUGACUACCUGUGUUCUAGGACUGGUGUAUCUAUGUAAAUAAAACAAGUU